AGGAAUAUUUAAUUCAGAAUUUGAACACUGGAACAGUGAUACCCAAGAAGAAAUUACGUUCUGCAUCUCCUCUAAGAGAAGUUAAACCAGAAUUUCUUAACAAAUUGGAUGAAGAGGUCGAGGUGUCACGCAAUGGACAAGAAUCGCACAUUCUGGAUGAUAAAGUACUAAUUUUAAGGUCACAUGACGAAGUACCAUCUUGCUUAGAACCACAACCAGCGCAUGUGGUACAAAAGAAGAAGUCUCUAGAAGGGGAUUGAAACAAAAGUUUUCAUUGCGCUAUCUCAAGCAAUAGAAAAUCUAUUUCCCGGAGAGCUGGCGUGCACAUACUUUACUCCCUAAAAAUCAGAGAAAGGAAUUUCCGUUAAAAAAAGUGGCACUCUUUGGGCUCAUUUCAACUACCUUGUCGAGAGGUCAAGGUCGCAAAACCUUCUUGAAAGGCGCAAAGCAUCAAAAAAGGAUAAGGAAAGUCUCAUCCCGGAAC